UGGGGAAUCUUGCACAAUGGGGGCAACCCUGAUGCAGCGACGCCGCGUGAGCGAUGAAGCCCUUCGGGGCGUAAAGCUCUUUCGACCGGAACGAUAAUGACGGUACCGGGAGAAGAAGCUGCGGCUAACUACGUGCCAGCAGCCGCGGUAAUACGUAGGCAGCAAGCGUUGUUCGGAGUUACUGGGCGUAAAGAGUGCGUAGGCGGUUUUCUAAGUUCGGUGUGAAAUCUCCCGGCUUAACUGGGAGGGUGCGCCGAAGACUGGGAAGCUUGAGUGGGGGAAAGGCAGGCGGAAUUCCUGGUGUAGCGGUGAAAUGCGUAGAUAUCAGGAGGAACACCGGCGGUGUAGACGGCUUGCUAGACCAUAACUGACGCUGAGGCACGAAAGCGUGGGUAGCAAACA
rnacentral:rRNA from 1 species